UCCAAAAACGGAUCAUCUAUCCCCAUAAUUUUCCAUUUUGUCAUUCAGAUGACACAUGCGUAAGUAAAUUAGAUUUGGAAGCGUGUUAUUCUUCGUGCCGGCAAGAAUGCAUAUCGCACAGUUUUAAAGUAAGUGUGACUCACAAAAGGAUUCC